GAUGAACGCUGGCGGCGUGCUUAACACAUGCAAGUCGAACGGUGAACACGGAGCUUGCUCUGUGGGAUCAGUGGCGAACGGGUGAGUAACACGUGAGCAACCUGCCCCUGACUCUGGGAUAAGCGCUGGAAACGGCGUCUAAUACUGGAUACGAGUAGCGGCCGCAUGGUCAGUUACUGGAAAGAUUUUUUGGUUGGGGAUGGGCUCGCGGCCUAUCAGCUUGUUGGUGAGGUAAUGGCUCACCAAGGCGUCGACGGGUAGCCGGCAUGAGAGGGUGACCGGCCACACUGGGACUGAGACACGGCCCAGACUCCUACGGGAGGCAGCAGUGGGGAAUAUUGCACAAUGGGCGAAAGCCUGAUGCAGCAACGCCGCGUGAGGGAUGACGGCCUUCGGGUUGUAAACCUCUUUUAGCAGGGAAGAAGCGAAAGUGACGGUACCUGCAGAAAAAGCGCCGGCUAACUACGGGCCAGCCGCCGCGGUAA
rnacentral:rRNA from 1 species